AGGAUGACAACGACUGUCGAAGAAAACGCGCGGGAAGCGCCGCGCGUCACAUAAAUUCCAACUUGUGUGUAUGGGAAAUAACGUUGCGAGUGUGUGUACGCAUAUAUAUGUGUGUGUGUGUGUGUGGUGGCACCAUUGCGCGCACACAUGGGCGCGAAAUUCGGAUGUCGCGAAAGGGCGAUGAAUCCAAGGUACAAAGCAUGUAGGGAAUAUGCGAUGAGAAUAAUGCAAGAUAUUGUUCUUAAUAAAAUGUGAAAGAUGUUUAUAUUCGAAUUUAUACAUCUACUUUCAUAUACUAUAUCAAGAAUAAAAUGUGAUACGCAGUCUUCGUAUGAGAAUUAUAUUUUCAGUAGUCAUAUUUAAUACUUCAUACAUGGUAUAUGAAUAUAAGCAAAUGAACCGAC